UACAAACAGCGGAAAUCGGUAACCACACGUGGAGCAGAGAACGUUCCUAAAGUCCAACAGAUAAUCCUCUACGAUUUUGAUGCCUCGAAAGAAGCCUUUCAGUUCAAAGCAAAAGAAGUUUCAAUUGCAAGAUAAGCGUCAAAGAAAGAAGGAAUCCACUCAUGAUGAAAAUGAUCCUGAGUAUGAAGAGCUGGAGGUCAAUGUCAAAGGUCAGGAUCCAUCACAGCCUCAGAAAAGUGUGAGGAAAGGCAAAUCAGGAGUUGACAGGAGAAAUAACCCUAACAGAUAUCGUCUGCAGUUUUUUAAAGAGAGUAAUGAAGAGAUUGAUAGAAGAAAGAAACUAGCGAGACGAUCUUUACGUCGUAUCCCUGAGGAUGCGCUGGAGGUGAAUAUCGACCAGGUAUACCAGCCUGGGUCUGUCCUUGACCUCCCCAGACGACCCCCGUGGGACUACUCUCUAACUAAAGCCCAGUUAGAGGCCAGUGAACAGAAGUACUUUCAGGACUACACAGAGGCAAUCUUUGACAAGUUCCCUCCGGACCAACUGAGCUACUUUGAGUUGAAUUUAGAAACUUGGCGGCAGUUAUGGCGAGUGUUAGAGAUGUCAGAUGUUCUGCUGCUUAUUCUGGACAUCCGGUAUCCGGUUUUACACAUGUCGCCAGCCUUGUACCAUACGGUGACACACGAACUUGGCAAGUCUAUCAUCAUCAUCCUAAACAAAAUCGACCUGGCACCACCCUCUCUGGUCAUUGCAUGGAAACAUUUCUUACAGGAAAAAUACAAAAAAGUCCACAUAGUCUUGUUUACAUCCUAUCCAAACGAGGCUCUGGCAGAGGGAGGUGAUGAAAGAAAAGCUAAAAUGAGACGUAAGCGUGGAGGCGGAGCCUGGACCAGGGCUAUGGGUCAGGGUCAGCUACUGGAGGUGUGUAAGAAUAUUGUCGGUGACAAAGUUGAUCUGAGUAGUUGGCAUGACAAACUUGUCUCAGCUCCUGAUGCUGUGAAGGAGGAAGAUGUAACAGACAGUUCAGCUGGGCUACAGGACACUUCCUACAAACAACGGAGUACAACAACUCGGUUCCAAAAUGGAGUCCUCACCAUCGGUUGUGUUGGCUAUCCUAAUGUGGGUAAAUCUUCCCUGUUGAAUGGUCUGGUGGGUAAAAAAGUGGUCAGUGUGUCUAGAACCCCUGGGCAUACCAAACAUUUUCAGACCAUCUUUCUGACCCAAACAGUGAAGUUGUGUGACUGUCCAGGUCUAGUGUUUCCUUCACUCAUCGACAAAUCUCUACAGAUACUGGCCGGUAUUUAUCCCAUCGCACAAGUACGGGAACCAUACUCUCCUUUGGGCUUUCUGGCAGAGAGGGUAGACAUUGUGAAACAACUUCGUCUCAAACAUCCAGAUUGUCAGGCAUCGUCCCAAGUUUGGAGUGCAUAUGAUAUUUGUCAAGCCUGGGCUGAAAAACGUGGAUUCCUUACAGCAAAGACAGGCAGACCUGAUCUAUACAGGGCGGCGAAUAAUCUGCUGAGAAUGGGACUAGAUGGUCGUCUGUGUUUGUGUCUCAGACCCCCAGGGUACACUGACAACAAAGGCCACUGGGAACAACAUCAAGAAACACUCCAACUUAUCAGUGAUUUGGAGUGUUAUACAGUCAAUGAAGACAUGUCUGAUGGAGAAGACGAGUAUAGCGAUGAGGAAUUAGCACAUUUAGCUCGGGAAAAUGAUUCAGGUGAUGAAGAAGAAAGUGAGGAAGAAGAUGAGGAAAAUGAGGAUGGAACCAAAUAUGUAUCCAAUAAUCCUUUUGCAUUGUUAGAUGAUGGUGACUGAAGUUUCACUCUGGGAUGACCACUGGCUGAUAUUGUGAGGGAAAAUGAACCCUUUGUUUUAAUGAAUCUUAUCUGUAUUAGGCAAGUUUUUCUUCAGGUAAAGUUGGCUCAGUCAUUAUGUAUUUUCCAUUGAUACAUUUUAAGUUACAUGUACAUUUCAGUUGUUACUUAUCAAUAUUGGAGAUUAAUGAAUCCAAAUAGAAUGACUUAUGUACAACAUGUAACAACUAUUCAAAACUUCCAUGCAGUGUAUAACAAGAAUGUACACACAUGUAUAUGAUAUAUAUCAAGGUACCAUGUAACAAUAUCAACUUUGUUUAGUACUGAACCCAAAUUCUUCCAAUGUUUGCAUUUUUUCCAAUUAAACGAAACCCUUUCGUUAAACCCCAUUUAAUAGAGUAAAAAGAGAUAGAAGAUUGAAGUAGCUAUAUCCUGAUGUGACAGCUAUAGGGAGGUACAUGUAGGGGGUUGGCCCUGUUGUGACGGCUAUAGGGAGGUACAUGUAGGGGGUUGGCCCUGUUUUGACAGCUAUAGGAAUGUAAUAUAUUGAUGUGUUACCAUCCUCUGUCUAUAAACAAUGUUACAUGUGGGUGUGUUACAUUUACCAACCUCUGUCUAUAAACAAUGUUACAUAUGGAGUGUGUUACAUUUACCAACCUCUGUCUAUAAACAAUGUUACAUAUGGAGUGUGUUACAUUUACCAACCUCUGUCUAUAAACAAUGUUACAUAUGGAGAGUGUUACCAACCUCUGUCUAUAAACAAUGUUACAUGUGGGUGUGUUACAUUUACCAACCUCUGUCUAUAAACAAUGUUACAUAUGGAGUGUGUUACAUUUACCAACCUCUGUCUAUAAACAAUGUUACAUAUGGAGAGUGUUACCAACCUCUGUCUAUAAACAAUGUUACAUGUGGGUGUGUUACAUUUACCAACCUCUGUCUAUAAACAAUGUUACAUAUGGAGUGUGUUACAUUUACCAACCUCUGUCUAUAAACAAUGUUACAUAUGGAGUGUGUUACAUUUACCAACCUCUGUCUAUAAACAAUGUUACAUAUGGAGUGUGUUACCAACCUCUGUCUAUAAACAAUGUUACAUAUGGAUGUGUUACAUUUACCAACCUCUGUCUAUAAACAAUGUUACAUAUGGAGUGUGUUACAUUUACCAACCUCUGUCUAUAAACAAUGUUACAUAUGGAGUGUGUUACAUUUACCAACCUCUGUCUAUAAACAAUGUUACAUAUGGAGUGUGUUACAUUUACCAACCUCUGUCUAUAAACAAUGUUACAUAUGGAGUGUGUUACCAACCUCUGUCUAUAAACAAUGUUACAUAUGGAGUGUGUUACCAUCCUCUGUCUAUAAAUAAUGUUACAUAUGGAGUGUGUUACAUUUACCAACCUCUGUCUAUAAACAAUGUUACAUAUGGAGUGUGUUACAUUUACCAACCUCUGUCUAUAAACAAUGUUACAUAUGGAGAGUGUUACCAACCUCUGUCUAUAAACAAUGUUACAUAUGGAGUGUGUUACCAACCUCUGUCUAUAAACAAUGUUACAUAUGGAGUGUGUUACAUUUACCAACCUCUGUCUAUAAACCAUGUUACAUAUGGAGUGUGUUACCAACCUCUGUCUAUAAACAAUGUUACAUAUGGAGUGUGUUACAUUUACCAACCUCUGUCUAUAAACAAUGUUACAUAUGGAGUGUGUUACAUUUACCAACCUCUGUCUAUAAACAAUGUUACAUAUGGGUGUGUUACCAUCCUCUGUCUAUAAACAAUGUUACAUAUGGAGUGUGUUACAUUUACCAUCCUCUGUCUAUAAACAAUGUUACAUGUGGGUGUGUUACCAACCUCUGUCUAUAAACAAUGUUACAUAUGGAGUGUGUUACCAACCUCUGUCUAUAAACAAUGUUACAUAUGGAGUGUGUUACAUUUACCAACCUCUGUCUAUAAACAAUGUUACAUAUGGAGUGUGUUACAUUUACCAACCUCUGUCUAUAAACAAUGUUACAUGUGGAGUGUGUUACCAACCUCUGUCUAUAAACAAUGUUACAUAUGGAGUGUGUUACAUUUACCAACCUCUGUCUAUAAACAAUGUUACAUAUGGAGUGUGUUACAUUUACCAACCUCUGUCUAUAAACAAUGUUACAUAUGGAGUGUGUUACAUUUACCAACCUCUGUCUAUAAACAAUGUUACAUAUGGAGUGUGUUACAUUUACCAACCUCUGUCUAUAAACAAUGUUACAUAUGGAGUGUGUUACAUUUACCAACCUCUGUCUAUAAACAAUGUUACAUAUGGAGUGUGUUACAUUUACCAACCUCUGUCUAUAAACAAUGUUACAUGUGGAGUGUGUUACCAACCUCUGUCUAUAAACAAUGUUACAUAUGGAGUGUGUUACAUUUACCAACCUCUGUCUAUAAACAAUGUUACAUAUGGAGAGUGUUACCAACCUCUGUCUAUAAACAAUGUUACAUGUGGGUGUGUUACAUUUACCAACCUCUGUCUAUAAACAAUGUUACAUAUGGAGUGUGUUACAUUUACCAACCUCUGUCUAUAAACAAUGUUACAUAUGGAGUGUGUUACCAUUCUGUUAUUUGUUAUAGAAAUAAAACAUCUGGUUUUA